GACGAACGCUGGCGGCGUGCUUAACACAUGCCAGUCGAACGGAAAGGCCCUGCUUUUGUGGGGUGCUCGAGUGGCGAACGGGUGAGUAACACGUGAGUAACCUGCCCUUGACUUUGGGAUAACUUCAGGAAACUGGGGCUAAUACCGGAUAGGAGCUCCUGCUGCAUGGUGGGGGUUGGAAAGUUUCGGCGGUUGGGGAUGGACUCGCGGCUUAUCAGCUUGUUGGUGGGGUAGUGGCUUACCAAGGCUUUGACGGGUAGCCGGCCUGAGAGGGUGACCGGCCACAUUGGGACUGAGGUACGGCCCAGACUGCUACGGGAGGCAGCAGUGGGGAAUAUUGCGCAAUGGGCGGAAGCCUGAUGCAGCAACGCCGCGUGCGUGAUGACGGCCUUCUGGUUGUGAGCCGAUUUCGCCUGUGACGAAGCGUGAGUGACGGUAAUUGGUAAAAAAGCACCGGCUAACUACGUG
rnacentral:rRNA from 1 species